rnacentral:rRNA from 1 species
UACAGAGGCGCGAGCGUUGUCCGGAAUCACUGGGCGUAAAGGGCGCGUAGGUGGUGGCUUAAGCGUGCGGUGAAAGCUCGGGGCUCAACUCCGAGUCGGCCGUGCGAACUGGGCUCACUGGAGCAUAGUAGAGGCAGGUGGAAUUCCGGGUGUAGCGGUGGAAUGCGUAGAGAUCCGGAAGAACACCGGUGGCGAAGGCGGCCUGCUGGGCUAUGGCUGACACUGGGGCGCGACAGCGUGGGAGCA